rnacentral:lncRNA from 1 species
AUGCAAUCCCCAGGUAACCCUGCUGUUUCCAGGAGGAGGUACAGUGUAAUGCAUUUUUACAUUUGUUUGGAUGAGUACAGGAGAAAUGUGUGGCUAAUGGACUCAGACAGAAGAAAAGAGCAAUUGAUUUGGAUCAAAGUUGAUCAUAGAGGACCAGGAGCUGGAGAUUCAGCCCUACAGACCUGUGGAGGAAAUGCCCAGCUGCAGUCCAUAGAUGCUGCUGACAGCCCCUGCUCUCAGAGAAGGCAGGAAGCUUAAGACUUUUGGAACAAUGCAAAUAAGCUGGUAUCAACUUCGUUCCUUGCUGCCAAGAUACACGUGGAGAGAACAGAUAACAGUUUGGCUUGUUCCUUGUCUAUGCCUAGGUACUUCACAUUUUUAAGAUUUUUCUUGCAGCUACACCUUGCCUAGGCUGAGCUCUUAAAAAACAAUUUUCCAGUCAGGUUCUGAGAGGUUACAACACACUUCUCAGAAAGCAUGUCUUUGGAUUUGCACAUGGCUUUGAUUCUGCAGGGGGCUUGGAUUUUAUUUUUGAGGCUAACCCAGAGCUGUGCCUUAGGAGUGUCCAGAAAUAAGUGGGCAGUGGAGUUCAGAUCCAGUGAAACUUACCACAAACACAUUAUCUCCAGGAAAUCUCAAGAUCAAAUGCCAAUGUUUUUUGUAUUUUAUUUAUUUAUUAUUUAUUUAUUACUAUUUUCAAGGAUGUGGCUUCUGGAACAGCAAUGGUGAUGUAGGUGCUCAUCUGAGAAGUGAAGAAACUCAUGAUUAAUUCUUGUUUUCAAACCAGGCCCUUGAAAAUGUUGUGAGCUAUAAUAUGAAAGUGUGUCCACCUGGUAUAUUUGCCUGUCUCCAAUGGUUAUUCAAGCCUUAGAUAUUCACUAUCAUAGCAUGAUUCAAAUACCUGAACUCUCAGUCUCAAGUAUGUCUACAACAGAAAACUGAGCUUGCCGUAUCUACUUGUACUGUCUGAUCUGGCUCCUCAGCCAGAACAUUUGUUGUACUAAAAUUCCCUUAAUCUCAUCACUGUAAAUCCCACCCACUCACUUAUUUGCUCUGCUCUGUGAAAUUCAGGCAUGUAAAACACUUGCAAAAUGAGACAUUUGAAAUAGCCUUGCCUGACCUCAAGCUUUGUUUCUAGGCAGUCAACACCUGGGACUCCAAGCUACUGUGUCACUAAAAAAUGCAAGAAAUGUUCUGUCACUGAACUCUUACUCCAUCGGCAGUCCUGGCCGACAGAAAACAGAAAAGCCCUCAUGUCUCACACUUGUACUUCUUAACCUUGUGCACACUUUGUAUCUUUAGAAAAUGCAGUAUCUCAUGAUCCUUUAAAUAACAAAUGACCUUAUUCCUUUUAAUGGGGUCAUUAAGAACUCUAAAGUUCCAGGUAUAAAUUCCUGCUACUACUGUGCACCUUCAUUUGUUAUUCAUAUGUGAAUCCCUUCGGGUUCCCAAUUACUAUCCAGGAACAGCAAUUGGCUGUUGAAAUUAUUCCCACAGGACUGACUUUGUAAAGGACACUGCAGUUUACAUCUUAGUUCCCUAAUUAAGGACACAACGCUCGAUAAACCUUGAACAACUAGUAAUUGGAAGCUAACAGUUAGUCCCAUUGAAUCCCCGUUGACACAGAUUUUGUUGUCUGAUAACUGACCACAAGUGGGUCAUGUGAGAAGGCAGGAGUGAAGAAAGAAUAUUAAGGUCAUAUGCUAGUGAAACUGAAUCAGUGGGAAUUGACUGGAAAAAGUCCCUUGUGUAGACGGUGCCUUAACAUCCACAAUUUGUUGCAGCUCAGUGCACCACAUCUGAAACACCACAGGUACUACCAUUCAGCUCCUGGCUAGAGCAAGAAAUAGCAGGCGAGAUUGGUGGAGGAAGGAGGAUGGGCUUCAAAGAACUUGCUGUCCUCACUCAGAGUGCUGGUCUCUUCCCUGCAAAUGUAACCAAGACAUUAAGUAGCUCAUGUCAAUUUACUUAAAGUCUUGGCCUGAUAGUAUUGCAAGAGCAGAAAGUUUUGCUGGCUUUUUUUUUUUCUUUUCUUUUUUUUUUUUUUUUUCUCCUCUUCAGAAUCAAGCCAUUUAAAGCAACUAAGAGAAUAACCAAGAUUAUUAACCAAGACUAUGUUGACUUUAUUGAUAUUUCUUUUCAGAAAGUGCAAAGCAAAGCAUUUUUAUCAAAAUAAACUUAAUUCUGCACUGUACCUUAUACUGUUC